GCCUGGAGGGCUGGACCUCACUGGGGGUGGUGGCUUUGGUCCUGGGGGGUCCCUGCUCGCUGCCGGCCUUGCUCUGGAAACUGGGGCCACUCCUGGCCAUGGGGAACACGGCUCUGGUCCUGUCCCCUCCGGCUGCGGCUCCCCCUCUGCUGCUGCUGGGGGAGCUCAGUGGGGA